rnacentral:misc_RNA from 1 species
UCCUAGUUUCCUAGGCAGUCCCACCAGAGUGCUUCCCGAAGGAGUGGCAACUGAUGGCAAGGGUUGCGCUCGUUAAAGGACUUAACCCAACAUCUCACGACACGAGCUGACGACAGCCAUGCAGCACCUGUGCAAUUGUUCAAGCUUACGCCUGAAAGACUCUAUCUCUAGAGCUGUCAAAAGCAUGUCAAACCCGGGUAAGGUUCCUCGCGUAGUAUCGAAUUAAACCACAUGUUCCACCGCUUGUGCGGACCCCCGUCAAUUCCUUUGAGUUUUAAUCUUGCGACCGUAGUCCCCAGGCGGGCCACUUAACGCGUUAGCUACGACACUGCUCCCGCAAAGCGAGACCAACGUCUAGUGACCAUCGUUUACAGCAUGGACUAC